GGGCGUUAAGUUGCAGGGUAUAGACCCGAAACCCGGUGAUCUAGCCAUGGGCAGGUUGAAGGUUGGGUAACACUAACUGGAGGACCGAACCGACUAAUGUUGAAAAAUUAGCGGAUGACUUGUGGCUGGGGGUGAAAGGCCAAUCAAACCGGGAGAUAGCUGGUUCUCCCCGAAAGCUAUUUAGGUAGCGCCUCGUGAAUUCAUCUCCGGGGGUAGAGCACUGUUUCGGCAAGGGGGUCAUCCCGACUUACCAACCCGAUGCAAACUGCGAAUACCGGAGAAUGUUAUCACGGGAGACACACGGCGGGUGCUAACGUCCGUCGUGAAGAGGGAAACAACCCAGACCGCCAGCUAAGGUCCCAAAGUCAUGGUUAAGUGGGAAACGAUGUGGGAAGGCCCAGACAGCCAGGAUGUUGGCUUAGAAGCAGCCAUCAUUUAAAGAAAGCGUAAUAGCUCACUGGUCGAGUCGGCCUGCGCGGAAGAUGUAACGGGGCUAAACCAUGCACCGAAGCUGCGGCAGCGACGCUUAUGCGUUGUUGGGUAGGGGAGCGUUCUGUAAGCCUGCGAAGGUGUGCUGUGAGGCAUGCUGGAGGUAUCAGAAGUGCGAAUGCUGACAUAAGUAACGAUAAAGCGGGUGAAAAGCCCGCUCGCCGGAAGACCAAGGGUUCCUGUCCAACGUUAAUCGGGGCAGGGUGAGUCGACCCCUAAGGCGAGGCCGAAAGGCGUAGUCGAUGGGAAACAGGUUAAUAUUCCUGUACUUGGUGUUACUGCGAAGGGGGGACGGAGAAGGCUAUGUUGGCCGGGCGACGGUUGUCCCGGUUUAAGCGUGUAGGCUGGUUUUCCAGGCAAAUCCGGAAAAUCAAGGCUGAGGCGUGAUGACGAGGCACUACGGUGCUGAAGCAACAAAUGCCCUGCUUCCAGGAAAAGCCUCUAAGCAUCAGGUAACAUCAAAUCGUACCCCAAACCGACACAGGUGGUCAGGUAGAGAAUACCAAGGCGCUUGAGAGAACUCGGGUGAAGGAACUAGGCAAAAUGGUGCCGUAACUUCGGGAGAAGGCACGCUGAUAUGUAGGUGAAGUCCCUCGCGGAUGGAGCUGAAAUCAGUCGAAGAUACCAGCUGGCUGCAACUGUUUAUUAAAAACACAGCACUGUGCAAACACGAAAGUGGACGUAUACGGUGUGACGCCUGCCCGGUGCCGGAAGGUUAAUUGAUGGGGUUAGCGCAAGCGAAGCUCUUGAUCGAAGCCCCGGUAAACGGCGGCCGUAACUAUAACGGUCCUAAGGUAGCGAAAUUCCUUGUCGGGUAAGUUCCGACCUGCACGAAUGGCGUAAUGAUGGCCAGGCUGUCUCCACCCGAGACUCAGUGAAAUUGAACUCGCUGUGAAGAUGCAGUGUACCCGCGGCAAGACGGAAAGACCCCGUGAACCUUUACUAUAGCUUGACACUGAACAUUGAGCCUUGAUGUGUAGGAUAGGUGGGAGGCUUUGAAGUGUGGACGCCAGUCUGCAUGGAGCCGACCUUGAAAUACCACCCUUUAAUGUUUGAUGUUCUAACGUGGACCCGUAAUCCGGGUUGCGGACAGUGUCUGGUGGGUAGUUUGACUGGGGCGGUCUCCUCCUAAAGAGUAACGGAGGAGCACGAAGGUUGGCUAAUCCUGGUCGGACAUCAGGAGGUUAGUGCAAUGGCAUAAGCCAGCUUGACUGCGAGCGUGACGGCGCGAGCAGGUGCGAAAGCAGGUCAUAGUGAUCCGGUGGUUCUGAAUGGAAGGGCCAUCGCUCAACGGAUAAAAGGUACUCCGGGGAUAACAGGCUGAUACCGCCCAAGAGUUCAUAUCGACGGCGGUGUUUGGCACCUCGAUGUCGGCUCAUCACAUCCUGGGGCUGAAGUAGGUCCCAAGGGUAUGGCUGUUCGCCAUUUAAAGUGGUACGCGAGCUGGGUUUAGAACGUCGUGAGACAGUUCGGUCCCUAUCUGCCGUGGGCGCUGGAGAACUGAGGGGGGCUGCUCCUAGUACGAGAGGACCGGAGUGGACGCAUCACUGGUGUUCGGGUUGUCAUGCCAAUGGCACUGCCCGGUAGCUAAAUGCGGAAGAGAUAAGUGCUGAAAGCAUCUAAGCACGAAACUUGCCCCGAGAUGAGUUCU
rnacentral:rRNA from 1 species